rnacentral:rRNA from 1 species
AUUGAACGCUGGCGGCAGGCCUAACUCAUGCAAGUCGAACGAGUGGCGGACGGGUGAGUAAUGUCUGGGAAUCUGCCUGAUGGAGGGGGAUAACUACUGGAAACGGUAGCUAAUACCGCAUACCAUCGAAUGUGCCCAGAUGGGAUGAGCUAGUAGGUGGGGUAAAGGCUAACCUAGGCGACGAUCCCUAGCUGGUCUGAGAGGAUGACCAGCCACACUGGAACGGAGACACGGUCCAGACUCCUACGGGAGGCAGCAGUGGGGAAUAUUGCACAAUGGGGGCAAGCCUGAUGCAGACAGGCCGCGUGUAUGAAGAAGGCCUUCGGGUUGUAAAGUACUUUCAGCCGGGAGGCGUUACCCGCAGAAGAAGCACCGGCUAACUCCGUGCCAGCAGCCGCGGUAAUAC